rnacentral:lncRNA from 1 species
CCAGGGCAGCAAAUCCUGAACUGGAGGGUUUGAAAGAUCAACAUUGUUACUCAUCUGGAAGAGUAUUAUUUCUUGUUUUCAGUUUAUAUGCAUGAAAGCCAUACGUGUUGCCCGACACGUAAUGGUUCAUUGUAAGGGCCACCUCAUGUUUAAAUUUGCAUUUCUGCAUCAUUAAUAAAUGGAUGUUUUUCAGUCAAAAAACGGUGUUCCCUGUUUUUCAAUUAUUUUUGCAGUUUAAAAACAAAAUAAAAAUGGCAAUGUUUAUUUUCUGUUUUUUCCUUUUGUUUUGUCUCGUCCCGACUUCAAAAAAAAUUCUUCUCCGGAUCUCAUUGAUAACAAUUUGGUUACCUCUCAUAUGACUUCGACAAACCGAUCUAUCUUGCUGAAGAAGAAGACGAAGAAGAUUGUGAUCUGUUGGGAUUGGCCAGAUUGCUGAAAACAAGAGGAGAAGGUGAUUCAG